UAGCAGCGUAUCUGUCCCUGGUUUGCAUCCCAUGUUUUCAGAGUUUUCACAUUAGCAAGGCAUCCAUGGGACGCAGAGCCGCUGUCAGUCCGGGUUAUCCCCGAUUUUUCUCACUGCGGACAUACCGCGAAUUUUCCCAUAAUCCGCUGCCAACUCAAUGCUGAUCCGAUAAAUCCCAGUGUGAACACUUUUGUCCCUUUUUUGCUUCUCUCUCCCCCCGCUAAGUCUUGUCGUCGGAAGCUGAUUGGUCUGCAUCUCCAGCUCCCCAAAUGCUUCGUCCGCCAUUUUUUCCCCGCUACCUAAACAUUUCAGCGGUACAUCUCCAUUGGUGCCAUCUCUAUUCUUCUCUCCCCGUCUUUUGCAUCCUGAUAAGUUCGUGUUACGCGCCUCACAUUUCCAACCCCCCCCCUUAAAAAAAUGUUUGCCUAGCGGUGAGCGAUUGUGGUCAUGAUGAACCAAACGUUUCAGUGACAACCCCUCUCCACUCAAAACUCUCUGCAUUUUGACAAUUCAAUCAGGAACCACCAUCGACAUUUUCCAGUAAUGAAAAAUAAAAUUGGCCAUAACGUUUCUGCGUUCUGUGGAUGCAAAGGUGCAUUGAGACAUCUCCAAUUGUGUGUUCUACAUAUUUUGACUCCUUUUUUCGGGAUGGGAAUGGGGUUGGGGCAGUGGGUGGUGCCCUCAAACGAGGUUCAAACUCACCCCUUCUGGGAUCACGUGAUUUUUGUGGACCAAUGGGGUGCCAUUAUUUGCUGGGCGGGAAAUUCAACUCCUGCGAUCUGUGCCACCUCCGUGCACUGCUCAACGGUUGCUCAAGGAAAUGGCUGCACUAAAACCAACCAGUGGGAGAGGGGUCUCCUGGAGGGAGAAGGAGACAUUGGACCUCAUUGAAUUUUGGGGUGAGGAGAAGGUGCAAGAGGCACUAUUGCUCUGUCACAGGAACAUUGAUGUUUUCGAGCGCAUCUCAGAGCAGAUGGUGGCGAGAGGCCAUGCAAGAACCGCACUCGAAUGCCGGACAAAAACAAAAGCUUUGAGACAGGAGUACAAGAGGGUCGCGGCACACAAUGGAAGAUCGGGAAAUGCCCCUGCAACAUGCCCUUUCUAUGCACAGCUUGCAAGAAUUUUCAGAGGGGAUGCAAGCAUACGGCCACAAAGGGUGGCAAGAAGUCUUAACCUGCAGUCGGUGAGCAAUGCCGACCCCAUGGGGGAAGAUCGGUCGAACCAUGGCGUUCCCGCUCCAUGGGAGGGAUCAGAGGAACUAUUCACACAUCCAAUGGUCACUCUACAUCUUCAGGCGGUCCCCGCUUCCACUCCCAAUUAUUCAGGUUCUUCCACAGAACAAGAAACAUCAAUCGGAGAAGCCCCCCCAAUGGACAUGACCGAUCCAGAGGAUGAAAAUGCCGCAGACGAUCCAGAUUUAACUCAGAUAGAGGAGUUCCCGGAGGUGACAGGACAGGGUGCAGAGGAUCCGCAAGGAGAUCUGAACAAUCCACCAGCAGUGGAACAACCGCAGGUCCCCACGGCACAACUGUCUCCUGCUACACGCUUAGAAAAGGCGCGCACCAGAACCAGGCGCGUCUCUGUCCUCACCAACGUUGCAGAGAGAAUGCUAUCUCAGGCACAGAGGGAGGAACAAAACAACAGAAAGGAACGUGGAGAAAUUCUGGAGGCAACCAGCCAUUGGCGUGCAGCCAUGGAAUCAGAGACAAGAUGGCACGAGGACAUUAUCAGGGAGGCAAGAGAGGAUCGUAGGGCUUUUAUUGAGGCACAGUCACAAAAUAUGGAGGGGCUUAAUAGGGCUGUCGGUGCCCUCAGCUCCUUGACUGAACUCUUUGUCAGGGAGCAAAGAGCAGGCCCGGUUGCAGAAACUUCCCAAAAUGCCAACAGCAAAACACGCGAUAACGAUCAUGAGAAGGCACCACUAAGAAAAAGGGCUCGGAUCAUUAAAAAGAGAGAAAGAUAUGAUCCAUCCCUCUGAGCCCCACAUGUUUUUCCGGUGCAGCAUUUGGGUUGGAAUCUGCAUAUCACACGUAUCAUUGCUGUUGAAAUUAUGUUUGUCACAGCUGUAAUUGUGUUUUUCGAUGUUGGCGAGGGGUUGACAAUGGCCAUUGAAAAAAAUUGGUUUUUGUUUCCCACCGCAAUCCAGGUGCGGUUUGCCAGAUCUAUUUUUUGACCACGGUUGUUUGAAAUGUUGACCCAUGGGAGAAACUACACAGUUUUAAAUUUGUUUUUUAUUCUUUUCAAAACUUGAAAGAUUACAUGUGAGGCAUCAUAUGGACACUUAACUAACAUGCAUGUUAAAUAAAUCUUUUCUACAUCUCCUUAAACCUUGACAGCACAUUAUCAAUGUCGGACCUCAAUUUCUUGUUCUCCUCAUUCAAAUUCCUCACAUUGUUUUCUAGCUUCUUCACCAAGGCCUGCAGGCUGUCCAUCCUUCUGUUGGUUUUCUUUGCUGUGGAAACAAAAGGUGUAAGCGCAGAGUGGCCACUUCUGUGUUCACAAACGUUGUAAGUCAUUGAUGGUUACUUACCGCAGCUGAGGCAUGUUCCCACUGCCUUGUGAACAGUCUCCAGUAUCUCAAGGGGCUGUUCCCUUGCCAAAGAUGAAGAAGGCACAUUUACAGUGUGUAGUGGACACCGCGCUUGAAUGCAUUCCUCACAGGGGUCACCUGAAAAGGGGGUUUGGAGAACUUGAUUUAAUUUUGUUCAUUGUCAUUACAGAGCACGUGUUUAACAUGUGGCAGAAUGACGGUGUAGUUAGUUCCAUUUGUGUACCUGAAUGCUCAGUCAGCUGUUCUGGUGGAAUCACUGCUUGCUGAGGUGUGACUUCUUCAUUGAACUCGGAGCAGUUUCCCUCUUCUUGCUUCACUGCCUCAGAACUGGGUUGCAAGGCCAUUUCAUCCAUUGGCACGGUCACCUCUGAGCCUGUUUCCUCCGUGGGCUCCUCCUCCCCCUCAUGUCUGUAUGAUGUUGCUGGAGAAACACAUGAAGAGAAUUAAAACAUCAGUAAGAGCAGUAUUGAUGAAAUGUUAUGAACAAGGAAUUCUGACUAAUUCAAAAAAUGGGGCAAGGGAAUGUUGAAAUGCUGAUCACCCUAGGCAACCGAUGCUGUAUCAUGUGUAGGGAUUUAGGGAAUGCCGUUUAGAUUAGAAGGCCGGUUUGGGAUCUUGGGCAGGGAGGGGGGGGAAUACCCAUGGAGGAAUGAUAAGGGCUGAGGUGUGUGGAAUGCUGUUUUUACUUACCGCACAGUAGCCGAGUCAUCUUUAAGAGAACACAUUAAAAAUAUGUGCCGACAUAAACCAUAAACCUUUCCCAAAGAACAGAAACAAAACAACUUUUAAACAUGGUGGGAUAGUCUUCAAGGACAGGGCACAGUCCCAGUGCCGUUCAGUGCCACGUGUUCCUGUGUUCCAUGUGCUGAUCCCAACACAGCAUGCCUGUUCUGGGGUUUUUCCUUGAAAACUUCCAUCCAACAUUCCUCUCAUUCAGGAAAUUGGUGCCUUGUACCAACAUACAUUUCCAUCUUAGUGAGGGGAUUGGGAUGGGUGAGGGGGGGGGGAAGACACGGUGUUUGAUGAUGGUGCAAGGGGGGCCCAUCUCACUUAAAGCAUGGUGAAAACAUUUUUAGAGGUGUGCCUUCACAAAAUAAACAUCCCACAGUACUUCAUUUACCUUCAUGGUGGACUCCAAAACAAGGUGCCCCAUUCUUCAAACAAUAUCCAUGUUUCUAUAUGGAGAAAAAGGAAUUCAUCUUCCCAGGUAGUUCAGGGUGGCCUUUUGUAAUCAAAAUGCUGCCAACUUUCAUGGUGCCUGCUCCCACCUGUCCUAACUUCCUCUAACAUGGUUCAGGCAGAUGCCGGUUGGGUGGUCCUUUUAAUGGACUGAAAAAUAUGUUGUUCUUGGCACCCUCUUUCUCCAUCAUCUCCCACGUUGAAAAUAAGAGAGGCUGGUCGUUCUGGGGUUAGGAAUAUUGCAUGAAAGAUGCCCAGUGACAUCAGGGGAACGUUUCCUACCUGUCCUCCAACCCCCCAAGCAAGCACCAAGGCAAACCAACCUGGAGGGGGGGGGCAUUUGGUUCCACCUCGAAGGGCGGUUCUCGUGCCACACAACUUCGUGCCUUUAACUGUGCGGUAGACCAGACACCGUCUACAUUGGUGGUGGGGGAGAACACCAAAGGGCAUCUGGAGAGCUGGGUGUGAUUCCCCACUCCUCCGCUUGAAGACAGCUGGGUCACCUUGGCCGAGUCACAGUUCUUUGGAGCUCUCUCAGCAACACCCACCUCACAGGGUGACUUUUUUGGGGGAAUAAUAACAGUUAGUAAACCGCUCUGAGUGGGCAUUAGGUUGUCCUGAAGGGCGGUAUAUAAAUCGAAUGCUAUUAUUAUUAUUAUAGGGGAAAAUAGGGCACAAGUCACCUCACCUUACAGAGCAACCCAAAACACAAUUGCUAUAAGAAAGGAUUUUUUAUGUCACUUGUUUGAAUAUAAAAACCGGUGGGUGCAGACCUAAGGCCGUGACAGCAUUCCCUCAACCAGAGAGAUAACACUACGUAAUUCACACACAAUAAUCCCCCGAUCAAAAUUGCUGGCAGAAUUUGUGCAUGCUAUUUGUGUUAUUUGGUGUUGUAGGCUGCUUUCGUGUCCUGUUGUGCCCACCAAAUGGGAACCUGAAAGACCUUAAAGAAAUAAUUUUUUUUAUUUCCCGUGAUAGAGUUUGGUUUAAUUCUGCACAGUAUGGUUAGUUGUGUUAUGUACUGCCUGUGUUAUGUCUCACACUGUCCUUCUCAAUUUUAGUUUGAAGGAGAGAAUGGUUUUUUUAUAAUAGAGUACUUUGGUGUGUGGUUGUCAUUUUUCCUUUGUUCUGUAGGUGGUUCCCAUCGCAGGGAACACUGUGGAAGUGUGACGUUGGGGGAGGGUGUUUGUGGAUCUGAUGCUGUUUCACACGGAUAAGCUAGCAUUCAACAGUGUGCUGACCAUCUUGGCACCCCUGGGCUGUGCAAUGAUGAACCCUUUUUUUCACUUUCUCUCUUUGUGGAAACCCCUCCUGCUCACUUGAUGCCCACCAAACAGAACAUUUCUUACCAUGAUGUUAUAAAAAUUUAUUUCAAAACAGGAAUGGAACAAUGAGAAUUCACUCAUUAGAUCAUCAUUGAAUCUCUAAACAAAGCUUUCUAACAAACCAUGUUUCAUAGGAAUCCAGCACUUGCAACUGAAUGCAUGACACAUCCAAUCAAGGCAAAACCAACAAGAAACAUUUUUUGAAACCGUGAGUCCAACCUCUGAACAUGCAACAAGUUCAACCACAGAUUUUUUCACAAUCAGACUGAAGAGUUUUUUAUAUUGUUAGAUUUCUCUGUUUCGAAACAUGUGGCGUGCAAGGGCAUCGCGCACCAACUUCCCCUCCUCCCGGUGCCUUCUGUCUCCCACAGGGAGUUCAAGAGAUUCCUCAUCCACCUCCACAGGCCUCACGGGAGAAUCAUCCUCUGGAAUGCCAUGACCUUUCAAUUCACAAAUGUUAUGUAGCACCACACACGCGGUAGCUAUGCAGGUCACAUUCUCCUCCGCAACCAUAAGCUGUGACCUCAAACACCUCCAGCGCCCCUUCAAACGUCCGAAACAUCUUUCCACUAUGGUCCUAGCUCUGGUGAGGCAGCGGUCAAAGUAUGCUUCUGCGGGAGUGUGGGGCCUAUUGAAGGGCUUCAUCAGCCACCUUCUCAUGGGGUAGGCUGCAUCAGAUAUGAUGAGUGGUGGCACGGUUACACCCUCUAUUGUAAGACUGGGGUUGCCUGGCACAAACACCCCCGCAUCCAUUGCCGUACAAAUUGCAGAAUUCACAAAAACAAAGGCGUCAUGGUUCCGCCCACUCCAGCCAACCUCUGCAUCAAUGAAUCUUCCAGUAUGGUCCACCGUGCCCUGGAUGAGAAUGGAAUUGAAUUUCUUGCGGUUGAUGUACUCCCGUCCACGGCCUUUAAAUUUGCAAAUGGCAACAUGGGUGCCAUCAACUGCACCAAUGCAAUGAGGAAAGCCAAGUUUCUGAAAUCCAGACAUAAUCUGCAAUGAAAGAGAAAAAAACAAGAUUGCUGUUAGAGAGAAUCCCCUCUUUCUCCCACCGCCUAUAUUCAUAAUCUCCUCACUACAGCGCUGAGGCAGUCUCACAUCUCCAGAAUCCAGAGGAGUUAGCCAUAGUCUGUACUAGUGAAAUAAAAAAGAGUACAGUAGAACCCUCAGCACUUGCAAAUUUUACUGUAGCUCAAGCUUUUGAGAAUCACAGUUCGCUUGUUCAAACGCACAAGAAAAAAGGGAACCGCGACUCUCGAAAGCUCAUGGCACGAUAAAAUUGGUUUAAAGGUGCAGCUCAUUGCCUACAUGUCAGCAACAUAGUUUUUUGUGCUUCAAAUUGUAAUCUUUGACCAGUACAGUUUGAAUGGAGACUGUUACUCUGGGAGAUGAGUGCGUACUCACCCUCGCCACAUCAGGUCCAAGGCACACGACUCUACUGAGUAGCUCCAAUUCUAUCGCCAAGCAGACCUCCAAGACGAUUCCUGCCACUGUUGAAAUACCCACUCCGAAUUGGUUCAUGCAUUGACGGUAAGUCGAACAGUUGGCAAGAUACCAAAGUGCUAUGGCGACUCUCAUCUCCACAGAGAUUGGAUUGCGAAGUCUGGUGCGCUGACGGGAAAGACGGUGCCCUAUGGAAUGAACCAAUUCAUUGAAAGUCUCCCUGGUCAUACGAAAAUUUUCAAUCCACAGCUGGUCAUCCCAUAUGGCAGUGACGAAAUUGUCCCACCAGUCCCUGCUACGGGGAUAAAUCCAGUAGCGACGGGGGACUCUGAUUCCGGCUACAGCGAGAAAACGUGCUCUGUUCAUUGCUGUUCUCCUUGUUCUCCAUAAAGGCGGAGGUAUGCACCUCAGUGCAAGUGAUUUCCUAAGCAUUCUCCUUCUUCUAACCACUCGCAUCCAGUAACUGUUGCAGGCAUCGAUCGAUCGCUGAAUAUAGAUAAAGAUGAUGUGAAGCAAGGCCAGUGCCAAUGCUCGGACCGCAGACAUAAUUCAGCAGAAUAAAAUCGGGCUCAAAAAAUCCUCCGCAAUUCCAAAGUAUGCCGUGAGACAAAUGUGUUCACAAGAGUGGAGAACGCACAGUUCCAAGGAAAACUCCCGCCCAAGUUGGCCAGCCUAUCAUCGUGGCCACAUUUUUGGCGGGAGAAAAAUCAUGACUUCCUAGAGGGGAGGAAGGACAUUUGCUAGGGAUAGUUGUGCUUGUGUCUUUUAGGGCAAAGAGCAUAGAGUAGACUUGCAGGAGCAGAUUGACCAGUUCUUCCACUCAAAUGUCGCGAUGACUACACAUGUGAUGGAGCAAAAUUAAGAGGGGCGGAUUACAGUGGAUUGAUGUGUUGACCCCCUCCCCAGUCCAGUUUUCCUGACUCUGAAACACCUAAAAAAAAAAAAAUAGCGGUAUGUAUGUUUUGUGAAGUAGCGCUUUGUUUUAUUAAAAAAAAAGUACUCGGUCCCGUUUUUUUCAAGCACAAGGAAUGCAGUCAGUCUAAAGCGUUGUGUGAUUCUUUGCCCUGUCAAUUCGCACACGCACCACUGUCUUGUUCGGUUCCCACAAUUUCUUUCCCCUUUACUAGUCACGUGAUGGAAAAGAAAUCGAGUUUCACGUUCAUCCAUCCACGAAAGAGUAAAAAACGGUGCGGUAGGGUAGGAAAUCUUGUCCUAGAUUUUUUUUUAAAAUGGUUUAUCUGUGUUCACCACGAAUUAAACAAAAAUACACUUCAAUGUCACAGUCACAAGUCCACACGCUUCUGAGAAAUUAUCAUAAGCCUCCACUUGAUCUGUCCACCAAAAUAAAUUUUUACUUGAGAACAUUCCAUGUUUUUGGCGGGCACUAAGACGAUUGGCUAAAAUCGUUGAGGGGGCGGGCGGAUGAAAUGGGAGACCAAUCACUCUUGAGAGAACUUUUUGGAAUUUGUGUGUGGCGCAGUUCACUUGGUGCAAAAUGAUUUCCCGGCGUCAUGGAAAUGUCUGGGAAGUGGAGGAGGUAUCUCUUCUUCUGAGGGUUGUUCGGAGGAGUGGGCAUGCAUCUCGGUUAAUGGCCAGCACGCAAUCAAGCAACCGCGGCAUCUAUCGAUUUCUUUCAAGAGUGCUACGCAGUCGCGGAUUUCAUCGAACGGCCAACCAGUGUCGAAGCAAAUUCCAAAAACUGAAGUCCGAUUUCAUUUCAUCAAUGGAGGCACUGCAAUGCAUUCCUAGAAGCAGUCGUAGAAUUAGGGUGCACAACGCGAUGAUGCUAAUCUGGAAGGCGGCAGGGAGGCCUCGAUGUCAAGAAAGACCUCAUGAUGGUGAGUUUUUUGAACCCCCCCCCCUUCCAUGGCGGACCAUGCAAGUCCCCCAUGUUUAAUGACACCUUUUUAGUGGCAUGUUCUCAAAGAGACUUCAUUCCUCAUUAACAAAUGGGUGGUUUUUGAAGUCAACCUUCUGUUUGUCACGCUCUAAUUUUAAUCUUCGAAUUAUUUGUCACGAUUGGAAAGCCAUAGAGUGUUCUUAGAGAAAUACCAUCUCCUCAAAAGCAUCUUUCAUGUUAAUAUGCAAUUCCCCCGGUCACCACUUUUAUGCUAUGCAUCCUGUUUGAUCCCUUUAACUGAAUGCCUGGAUCAUAAAAAGCAAAGUAAGUAAAGGGAAACAUUAUCAGGGCGAUCAUUCCGUUUUUUACCAUUGUUCAAAUGAUUUUUCAUUUCAGAGAUUAUCUGUGAAAGAGCAGUCAAGAUUGAAGAAACUUCAUCUGAGGAUGAUGAGAAUUCAGAAACUGUUGCAGUGGAAUCAUCAAGUGCAGCAGAAUCUGAUGCGCAAGCCUAUGCACCUCUUGGAGUGACAACUGAAGACCCAGCAAAGAUCAAUACAGCAGCAGUUCCUCAAGCUUCAGAGAGAGAAAGAACAGAUGACAGUGGAUCUCAUUGCCUAGAAACUGAAGAAACCGUAAUCGUUAUAUCUUCCGGCAGUAGUCACGAAGAAGCAACUGAUGACAUGACUGCUCCUGAAACCAUAAUGCCCGGAGAUGUAUCUCCACAACCGAGUACCUCAGCUUCUUUAGCAACACACAGUGGUGCCGCAGUGAGAAAGUAUGCCAUGAGCGCUGAGCACAAACUUCACAUAAUUGAGGAAACAACUUCUUCUGAUGCUGAGGAUGAGGACAGAAACGCCGUUGAGGAAGGCAGAACCGAGGAUGCAGAGGGAACUCCAGUUCUCUCAUUUUCCACAGGCACGUUUUAGCUAUGCCACAUUUGAGUGGAGUUACAUUUUUCGCUGAUUUAUUUUGCUGGGUGACACUUCAAUAUCUGCCUAAAAUAUUGACUGACUUUAAUUUUGCAGGUGAUACUUCAGCGGGAGGUUUGCGUGACAUGAUGCCAAAUAAAGACCAAUCCGCUGAUAUUGGCGAGAUCUAUCGUAGUAUGCAGGGAAUACAAUCUCUAUGUCUAUCAAGAAGUAAGUAUGACUAUUCCAAGGAAAACUUGAGGCAGAGUUUGGUGUGGUGUUUCUGAUCACGCGGCUCAGAUCAGGCGCGACAGUACCAAUCCCACAUCACGUAUGGAAGUCAGUAGGGAAACAUUCACCGAGUCAUUGAUAUGUGGAUUCAUAGAUCCAGAUAAGUCAUCAGUUCUAGUCUGUGGUCACAUAAUCAAAUAGUGUCCGUUCAAAACUAUUGACAUAACCGAUGUAAUUGAAGCACAUUUCAUGAAUCACUAGACUAUUUGGCAGAUGCAAGUAGGCACAAAGGAUACAUUUUUCAUAGGUUUUGAACGCGUGGUGGGUGCAGGGUGGAUUCAAACAACUCCUUCCAAUAUGUGGAUGCAAACAUCUCCCCCUGGUAUGCAGAUCAGUCCAUCCCUGUAAUGGGUCAUAGGAGUGGCCACGUUAGUCUGCGGUUGCAGAAUAAAAGAGACUCCUCCGGCACCUCCGAGAACAACCACUUCCAAUGUUGCGGAUUCCUUUGAUAACCAGGGCUCUCCCCACCAGAUAAAGUUUGACAAAGAGAACUGUGAACACCAAAAGCCAAAAUAUCGGCUUUCGUGGAACACACAUCUCUCCGUCAGAUGCGUCCAGUGGUGAGAGCUAUGUUUCUCCACAGAUUUUGCUGCAUUAGUUUCAGUUGGUCUGGGAGGUGAGGCCAUACUCUUUUGCAAUUUGCAAACAUGUAGUUAUAGCUUGGCUUCCAUGUACCUUAUCAUGGGCAAAAUGAUCUCAAUAUCAUAAGAAUAUGGUUGCAUUGGCAUAUCAGAUGGAAAUGUAAGCAUCUACCCCACAGUGUCCACUCCUUUUAUGCACCUAACCAUUAUCUUUUGACCCACUAUGCAACGUACAAAGAGCGCAACUCAUAACGACAACUUACGCUUAAAUUAAAUGGGUCAGUAUCAAGGGUACAACUGGACUCUGUUUGAUUUUGUUUUCUGGAGCCAUCUCAGCACCACCAACCGUACCUGGUGAUUGUUUUGUGGAUAUUUUCAAACCUUGAAAAAUGCCAGGAAUGGCCUUCAAGUUUUCCACAAGGAUUAAAAAAAAUUGUUUGUCACUGGUGUGGUUUUGAUAACCGCAAAGUUCUCGCAAUGUCGAAACCCAUCUCUUCAUGAAGAAAUAAAUUUUUUUGCUGUUUCUCAACAGUGGGAAGAUACCAUGAAAGAAUAUGCCGAUUGGAGAGAAACAAUAGAAGCCUUCACAAAGAACUGAGUUCUCUAAAGAAAAAGGUUUCUGCACUUGAGCGAGGUCAUCGUAGCUCAGGAUCAGAGCAAUCAGGAGAUGACAAGAAGAAUUAGCCAGUGUUAUGUCAGCUUGAAGAAUGUUUAAGCAAUAUUUUAGUUUGUUUCAGAAAGAAAAAAAAUGUAUGUUUAAAAAUAACGUAAUGGAAGGAAAGAUUACAAUUGACAACUCUCACAUGUCAAUUAUUUCCAGUGCUUUAUGAAUCAUGUUGAAGUUGUUUGCAAUGUGGAUAAUAAUUUCUCAUGAACAGCAAAAGCAAGAUCUUAUUUUCAUUUUUUUCUAAUCACUGUGUGGUUCUAAUGUCAUGCAAAAUUGGAAUUUUGAAUCAGUGACAAGAUUUUUGUUCCUUGGUGUUGGGAAGUCUGUGUUAUUUGUUUCUGAUAAAUAAAUCUGUUUUCAAUGUUAAAAAAUAA